rnacentral:rRNA from 1 species
UUCGCCCUUAGAGUUUGAUCCUGGCUCAGAACGAACGCUGGCGGCAUGCCUAACACAUGCAAGUCGAACGAAGGCUUCGGCCUUAGUGGCGCACGGGUGCGUAACGCGUGGGAAUCUGCCCUUAGGUUCGGAAUAACAGCUGGAAACGGCUGCUAAUACCGGAUGAUAUCGCGAGAUCAAAGAUUUAUCGCCUGAGGAUGAGCCCGCGUUGGAUUAGGUAGUUGGUGGGGUAAAGGCCUACCAAGCCGACGAUCCAUAGCUGGCCUGAGAGGAUGAUCAGCCACACUGGGACUGAGACACGGCCCAGACUCCUACGGGAGG